GCCUACGGCCGCACCGCCCCGAACGCGCCCGGUCCCGGCCGGUCUCGGAAGCUAAGCGGGGUCGGGCCGGGUUAGGACUUGGAUGGGAGACCGCCCGGGAAGACGGGGUGCCAUAGGCG
rnacentral:rRNA from 1 species